ACGAACGCUGGCGGCGUGCUUAACACCUGCCAGUCGAACGGAAAGGCCCUUCGGGGUACUCGAGUGGCGAACGGGUGAGUGACACGUGGGUGAUCUGCCCUGCACUUUGGGAUAAGCCUGGGAAACUGGGUCUAAUACCGAAUAUGAUCAUCGGCUUCAUGGUCGGUGGUGGAAAGCUUUUGCGGUGUGGGAUGGGCCCGCGGCCUAUCAGCUUGUUGGUGGGGUAAUGGCCUACCAAGGCGACGACGGGUAGCCGGCCUGAGAGGGUGACCGGCCACACUGGGACUGAGAUACGGCCCAGACUCCUACGGGAGGCAGCAGUGGGGAAUAUUGCACAAUGGGCGCAAGCCUGAUGCAGCGACGCCGCGUGAGGGAUGACGGCCUUCGGGUUGUAAACCUCUUUCAGCACAGACGAAGCGCAAGUGACGGUAUGUGCAGAAGAAGGACCGGCCAACUACGUG
rnacentral:rRNA from 1 species